UAGUGUAACACAGUUCUUGGCCACC
rnacentral:piRNA from 1 species